CAGCUGUAAUUAUAAAAUUAAAUAUCAACAAAGAAUACUUACCUGAACCACAAGAUGGUCUUUGAACACAUGCUUAACGACCUUAACAACAAAUUCAGUUUCCUGCUCAGUGAGCUCAAUAGGUGACGGCGAUGAUUUCAGUACUGGGCCAUAUUCAUUAAAUUCUGAAACGGAUUCUAAUGCGUUUAAAAACUCGGUUUCAAUGUUAGAACUGGCAAGAGCAUUUUGGUCCUCAGCAGGAGUAACCUCUGUAAACUCUACCUCUGUCGUGGCCUUUUUGAUUCUCAAAUUCUCAGCAUCAAUCUCUUCUUGAGAUAGUACGGGCACAGAUUUGAUAUCAAAGCCUUGUCCGAACUUCCUUUCAGAAAUAUAUAUAACAAGGCUACGCUCUAAAGCAGGUAAUGAGGGAAUUUUAUCAGAUUUAACCACUGGCAAAAAUGCAUCUCUAUCCUCAAGCGCCUUUACACUAAAAGCAGCACGAUCACGAACCUCGUCAUCAGCAUCUUCCAAACACCUUGUGAGAAUAACCUUAACACUCCGUUGGACAAAUUUAUCUUCCGCAUUCAAUCCAAAUUUGGUCAAAGCGCUAACGGCAGCGGAACGUACGAUGGCAUUCUCAAGCAUAAUCCGAUUGUAAAUAUAGCGGAUAAAUCUCGUUGGUUCUGAGGCUUUAGGACCUUCUUCGCCGAGAAUAGAUAAAAUCCGUACCGCAAUCUUAGGAUAUUCACAAUCCUCUAUAAAUUCACAUAACUCGGCAAGGGCUCGUUCUUUAGAUUCCGGAAUGUAUUUAAUCAUGUCAGAAAUAGCAUCAACGGCAGCACGUUUAAAUUCAUAACCACCUUCAUCGCAAAGUAUAUUACUAAGAAAGGUAAGCAUUGAAUCUUGCUUGCGAGGAAAUUUUAGACAUAAAGAACGAAUGGCAUCAACGACGAUAAUUUUGAAAUUAUCUGAAAUAUCGGACAUAAAGGUAACAAUCUGUUUCAUCAAACGGUCGACAGACUCAUCAUUACCAGUCUUUAGAAGUGUUGUGAUAGCGUAGGUGGCAAUGGAGCGAUUCACGUCGGUAAUUAAAGACUCGAUAUUAAGAUUGCAGGAAUGUACUAAGUGUGGACGUGUCAUGGCUAACUCGUUAAGCGUACGAAUAGCUGAAAAUCGGGUAGCGGAUCGGUGAGACGACAAGAAAAUUUUAAGAACGCUAACCACAGGUUGCAAGUCAUCAUCUGAGAUAUUUUUGAGACGGACCAUAUUUCUAGCAACUUCUAAGUUUACCAUGUCUCCUUUACUUUUUAACCACCCAUGUAGAAAUGGAACCAUCUGGUCUCUAAAUUGAGUGUUUUGAUCCAUUAGACUAGAAAUGUAGCGGAUAAGCAUAACAAAUGCAUGAGAAUUUGAGACUGUUCCUAAAUUGCUUACAAGCAGCUGCAAUAACUUAUUCAUUGCAAUCGAAUCAUGUCUUCGAAUACGGUACAGAAGACCUAAAGCAUGAUAUUGAGAAAUGCCGCUGGCAUUUGGUGUGUAACCCAAGGUAGAGGUGAAAAAAGGAGAGCUAGCAACUUUUCUACCAACAUUAUGAGAUGUGACCGCGUCUUGAACCUCGUUGUUCCAACGCGAUACAAUGUCUUUCGCAACAGGAUAUAAAUGAUAUGCGGAAACAAGAGCAGCGCUGGCAACAGCUGAUAUGGGGUCAACAAUACCCGUAGUUAAAAUGCGUUCAAUCGCAGGGACAGUGUUAGCAUCAAUGACACGAAUCAAAGAGCGAAUAGCAUUAGGACGGUAUAUAGUUUCACGUCCCGUAGCGGUGUCUUUCAUGAUACUACUGGUAAUCAUAAUCACAUCUUCAGCAACAACGGAAAGCUCCUUGAUAAUAAUAUAAACAAAUUGGCGAAGACUAGGGUCUUUGUGUUGGAAAAGUUUAGUAAUACCAAAAAAGAGUUCUGUAGCUUGCUUUUCCUGGAAAUGCUCUCCCGUAUAUAUCAAGUAGGCGAUUUUGCUAAGAAGACGUCUACUCUUUCUAGGGCUUAUGGAAGAUGAAUUAAAAGCCCUAGCAUCUUGAGUUACUGUGACUUGAUUGACAUUGGCAAAUAUCGAUUCGUCUAUUGUUAAAAGGUCAGCUCAUAAUUCCAAACAAUCAACAUACCACCAUCAUCAUCUUU